AACGAACGCUGGCGGCAUGCCUAACACAUGCAAGUCGAACGAGACCUUCGGGUCUAGUGGCGCACGGGUGCGUAACGCGUGGGAACCUGCCCUUAGGUUCGGAAUAACUCCCCGAAAGGGGUGCUAAUACCGGAUAAUGUCUUCGGACCAAAGAUUUAUCGCCUUUGGAUGGGCCCGCGUUGGAUUAGCUAGUUGGUAGGGUAAAAGCCUACCAAGGCGACGAUCCAUAGCUGGUCUGAGAGGAUGAUCAGCCACACUGGGACUGAGACACGGCCCAGACUCCUACGGAGGGGAGCAGUGGGGAAUAUUGGGCGAUGGGCGAAAGCCUGAUCCAGCAGUGCCGCGUAAGUGGUGAAGGCGUUAGGGUUGUAAAGCUCUUUUACCCGGGAUGAUAAUGACGGUACCGGGAGAAUAAGCUCCGGCUAACUCCGUG
rnacentral:rRNA from 1 species